UGAAUACGAGAUGCUACGGCAUCGAAGCAGUCUAUGUCACACUUCCAAGAAAAGCUUGCACUGUCAUAAACAAAUAAUGCCUGUACCAUAACCGACACAGGUGGGUAGGUAGAGUAUACUAAGGGGCGCGAGAUAACUCUCUCUAAGGAACUCGGCAAAAUGACUCCGUAACUUCGGGAGAAGGAGUGCCUUAUUUUUAUAAGGUUGCAAUAACAAGAUCCAAGCAACUGUUUACCAAAAACACAGGUCUCCGCUAAGUCGUAAGACGAUGUAUGGGGGCUGACGCCUGCCCAGUGCCAGAAGGUUAAAGAAGUUGGUUAGCAUUAGCGAAGCUGAUAACUGAAGCCCUGGUGAACGGCGGCCGUAACUAUAACGGUCCUAAGGUAGCGAAAUUCCUUGUCGGGUAAGUUCCGACCCGCACGAAAGGCGUAAUGAUUUGGAUACUGUCUCGGAGAGGGGCUCGGUGAAAUAGACUUGUCUGUGAAGAUGCGGACUACCUGCACCUGGACAGAAAGACCCUAUGAAGCUUUACUGUAACUUGAGAUUGAAAUUGGACUUUAUCUGCGCAGUAUAGGUGGGAGACGUUGAAAAUAUUCUUGCGGGAAUAUUCGAGUCAUCAGUGAGAUACCACUCUUAUAAUGUUAGAUUUCUAACUUUGUAUCAUUAUCUGGUCAAAGAACAGUCUCAGGCGGGCAGUUUGACUGGGGCGGUCGCCUCCUAAACGGUAACGGAGGCGCACAAAGGUUUCCUCUGAACGUGUAGAAAUCGUAUCUAGAGUGUAAAGGCAUAAGGAAGCUUGACUGUGAGACCUACAAGUCGAGCAGGGACGAAAGUCGGUCUUAGUGAUCUGACGGUGCUGAGUGGAAAGGCCGUCACUCAACGGAUAAAAGUUACUCUAGGAUAACAGGCUGAUCUCCCCCAAGAGUUCACAUCGACGGGGAGGUUUGGCACCUCGAUGUCGGCUCAUCGCAUCCUGGGGCGGUAGUACGUCCCAAGGGUUGGGCUGUUCGCCCAUGAAAGCGGUACGCGAGCUGGGUUCAGAACGUCGUGAGACAGUUCGGUCCAUAUCCGGUGUAGGCGUUAGAAUAUUGAGAGGAGCCUUCUUUAGUACGAGAGGACCGAGAAGGACAUACCUCUGGUGUACCAGUUAUCGUGCCAACGGUAAACGCUGGGUAGCUAUGUAUGGAGAGGAUAACCGCUGAAAGCAUCUAAGUGGGAAGCCCACCUCAAGAUAAGUA
rnacentral:rRNA from 1 species